UGAUGGCCCACACACUCCAGAGCAC
rnacentral:piRNA from 1 species